UCCCUGGCAUUUCAGUGGUUGAAACGCCACACUUUCACUGUGGGGGGCCCGGGUUCAAUCCCUGGUCAGGGAA
rnacentral:tRNA from 1 species